GCAGUGGUAGCUCAGUGGUUAAGAUGUUGGACUAACAAUCGGAAGGUCAUGGGUGCAAAUCCCAACAUCGCCA